ensembl:snRNA U6 U6 spliceosomal RNA
GUGCUCAUUUCAGCAGCACAUAUACCAAAAUUGGAACGAUACAGAGUUUAACACAGCCCCUGUGCAAGGAUGACACACAAAUUCAUGAAGUGUUCCCUUUUUUA